UUUGGAUUUCAUAUAAAUGCUGGCAUCUGCCGGGCAUUUCUGGAGGAAAGGACUGGACUGGUCCUGCUGAUACUUUCUUGAGGAUUUGAUCUGGUGCAUUUUCUUGAUCUCUUUGGAGGAGUUGGAGAGGGGGAGAGGAAGCUCACUAUAUUUCUUCCUGUUACUCUACCAUUUUGGCUUUGUGUUCCUUUCAUAGACCAUUCAAGACACUGAAGGAUACCCAGGCAUGAUAUACAAGCUCCUGACUAUCUUCCCUGAAUAUACGGCAGUGGGUUCCUUACAACUCUGGGACCCAUCACUAUCCCAAGUUCAGUGUGGGUUGCCUUAGGGUACUCAUGGUUAUGUAUGAAGUUGUGUAGCCAUCAGCUGUGAUCAAAUAAACCCAACCACAUUCUUGGAA